rnacentral:lncRNA from 1 species
AAUCAUAUAUCAAAAUUAAAUUCAACCCUUUGUAUCAUUUUUCCCAAAAGAUCAAACCUUUUUUUUAUCAACAUCUCUCUCUCUCUUUUGAUUGUCAAAUGGAUUGAUAAUAGAAUCAAACGAAGUAUGGGAUACCAGUAAAUUGACUCUUGAAAUUCUUUAAUUCACUUUGAUCCACGCCCACUCAUUCCUUUUUUUUCCCCCUACUUUUUGCACAAAUAUUUGUCUCUUAAUAAUAUUGUACAAAUAAUCUAUUCAAUGUCAAACCUCAAAAUGAUUAGAAACUAAACUUCAAGUGCUGAAUUGAUUAGAACUAAAAUUGGCAAUAUAGCGAUCAAAUGUUAAUGAUACAGCAAUAAUAUUUUGAAGAUAAAACAAUUAAACGUUAACAACACAUUAAAACUAUCAGCCAUUUGUACAAUUGCGAUUUGACUUUGAGAAAAGAUCCGUUUGACCAUUCUUUUUAUAGGUCCAAGUACUAUCCGUGUGAUCUAAGUAGUGUUGGUUCUUGGUACAACUAUUUGGGAAUAUAGAAACAUUUUGUAAAACAAAGAAGGCGUUCAGCAAAUACAUAAAAUUGAGUGUAAUCGGAAGUUGAAACACGAAAGAAAACAUAUGAAGAAAAACCCCUAAUUAGCAUUGAAAUUAUUGAAAGCCAAAGGACAAACCAAAAUCUUCACCUUAACUUUGCUUUCUCCCAUUAGAAUUUUCUUUGCUUUCUUGCAUAACAUUCACAAUAGUAACACCGCCUGACAGUGCUAUGAUCACAAAUGAUAAACAACAUACUAAACGGAAGUGAUGGUUUGAAUCUGGAAUCAAUGCAUACCUGAAAAGCUGAUUUAAAAUUGGUUAUGCUUUUCCCAUGCUCGUAACAUUUAUCAUUUGCAAUCAGUAAAAUUUUCCUGAUAAGGGGAAAGCAAGGAGAGUAAGUUAUAAGCAAAGUUGACAGACAAAACAGUUCGCUGCACAGAGAGACAGAGAACUUACAUCAGCUGUGCUCUCAAAUACAUAUGGUAAUCUGCAUACGAAGAAGCAGUUCUUUUUUUUUAAACCUUAAAUUCUGAUUCUAUGAUUUUGCAUUUGACUCCAACCAACAAGCAUGCUUAGAGGAUAUAUACCAUAAAGUAUAACAGUCAGUAGACGCUCAUACCACCACCAGCACAUACAACAACAAACAAUAAACAACAAAGCCUUUUCCCACUAAGUGGGGUCGGCUAUAUGAAUCCUAGAACGCCAUUGCGCUCGGUUUUGUGUCAUGUCCUCCGUUAGAUCCAAGUACUCUAAGUCUUUUCUUAGAGUCUCUUCCAAAGUUUUCCUAGGUCUUCCUCUACCCCUUCGGCCCUGAACCUCUGUCCCGUAGUCACAUCUUCGAACUGGAGCGUCAGUCGGCCUUCUUUGCACAUGUCCAAAUCACCGGAGCCGAUUUUCUCUCAUCUUUCCUACAAUUUUGGCUACUCCUACUUUACCUCGGAUAUCCUCAUUCCCAAUCUUAUCCUUUCUCGUGUGCCCACACAUCCCACGAAGCAUCCUCAUCUCCGCUACACCCAUUUUGUGUACGUGUUGAUGCUUCACCGCCCAACAUUCUGUGCCAAAAACAUCGCUGGCCUUAUUGCCGUCCUAUAAAAUUUUCUCUUGAGCUUCAGUGGCCUACGACGGUCACACAACACGCCGGAUGCACUCUUACACUUCAUCCAUCCAGCUCGUAUUCUAUGGUUGAGAUCUCCAUCUAAUUCUCCGUUCUCUUGCAAGAUAGAUCCUAGGUAGCGAAAACGGUCGCUUUUUGUGAUCUUCGCUAGAUUGCUCCGGUCAUUAGUGUGGAUAAGUAUAUAAAUGGAUAGAGAUAGGAAAGCAAACACAAGAUGUACGUGGUUCACCCAGAUUGGCUACGUCCACGGAAUAGAAGAGUUCUCAUUAAUUGUGAAGGGUUUACACAAGUACAUAGGUUCAAGCUCUCCUUUAGUGAGUACAAGUGAAUGAUUUAGUACAAAUGACAUUAGGAAAUAUUGUGGGAGAAUGAUCUCGUAAUCACGAAACUUCUAAGUAUCGGAGUGUGGUGUCGUCUUGACUUGCCUUAUCUGUCUCAUAGGUAGAUGUGGCAUCUUCUCUGGAAGUACUCUUCCUCCAUCCAGGGGUGGUAUCUUUAACUGGUGGAGAUGCACAAGGUAAUGUAUCAAUUUCACUUGAAGCUGAAGCUUACUUGUAGUUUCAGGCUUGGUCAAGCGCGAUACAAACCAUGUAGUAAGAGUCCCCCAAGUCGCCGAGCUAGGGGGUCUGCUGAAAGAGGUGACAGACAAGGUAAGCAAUCAGAGCUCCGACUGAUUGUUCACCUUCUCCCCAUCUUGCAGCAGCAUGAAGGAUAAAGAGAAGAAAAAUGAGAAGAGAUGAUAUGAGAUACUUUUGCUUUUGAAGAAGUAACUUUCCACAGGCUUAUUCUUGAACUGAGCUGGAGGGUUUUCUGGUUUCCUCCAGAGUAUAAGGCCGACUGAAGAAUUUGAGGGUCAAAACAAGUCCAUCAAAUCUAGAGUACGUUCCACCCUGCUGCUGAUAUGGGAUACUUUUGCUUUUGACAGAGUAAUGGAUGUAUCGGCACGUGUGCUGUUACGCUUGUCUCCACAUGCUUCCUUGUAUCCUUCGCACUUGCCCUAUCUGUUCCUCAAGCAGAUGCGGAAUCUUCCCUGGAAACAUAACAUGUUGAAGAUGAGUACUCGAGAGCAAUGCCAGGUAAGUAAUCAGGUAAGGGGUUCCAGGCAGUCAGUUCCUGGCUGGAAGCUUGAUUCCAAGUGCUGACUGAUUGCUCUCUUUCUCCUUGUCUUGCAGGUAAAAAACAAGGCCAAAGGAAAAGACAGGGAAAAAGCAUGAUAUGGGAUACUCUUGCUUUUAACCCUGAUGAUAUGAGAUAUUCUUGCUCUAGUAUAUAGCUUGUUUGCAGAGGUAUUAUCGGGGGGAAAGAAAGCUGAAUAUUUCGAAAGGCUUCGUUGGGAGUGCCCUCUCAGAUAUGAUGAAGGGUUGAGCAUUUUUGCAGGUCUGCCUGUCCGUUGGGGAUGGAGGUCGACAUAUAUAGGAGUCUCCCUAACAACAAGUAGUAAUGCUAUUCCUUUACCCUGCUUGGUCAUAGCACGGUAGUGGGAGCUGCCAGUUUCACAUGUCUUAACUCUGUCAGAGCACUUUGAAAAAGUGGUCUGUGGUAUCUGGCUCUCGAGAUUCGGAAAACGAUGCCUCUUCGAUUUUUGAGAAAAGCAAUCAUGCUGGGGGGUCUGGCUCUCGAGAUUCGGAGAGCAGUGUCUCUUCGAUUUUUGAGGAAGUAAUCAUGUUGGGAGUCUGGCUCUUGAGAUUCGGAGGGCGGUGCCUCUUCGAUUUUGGAGCAAGCAAUCCUGUUGGGAGUGUUGUCUCGAAUGUGAGUAAAGGUUGGGCAUGUUUGCUAGUCUACCUUGCCACGAAGCACAAAGGUUGACACACACAGGGACUUUCCAAUUAUCCAGCAAUGGUACUGUUCCUUUACCCUCUCUUCGCUUUUGAGAAAGUAGUCAUGUUGGGAGUCUGGCUCUCUCGAGAUUCGGAGGACGGUGCCUCUUCGAUUUUGGAGCAAGCAAUCUUAUUGGGAGUGUUUUCUCGAAUGUGAGUAAAGGUUGGGCAUGUUUGCUAGUCUACCUUGCCACGAAGCACAGAGAUUGACACACAGGGACUUUCCAAUUAUCCAGCAGUGGUACUGUUCCUUUACCCUUAUGGGUAAUAAUAUGGUAGCUAGACCUUCAAAAUUUAUGUGUCUAAACUUUGUUAGUGCUGUUUCUUUGCUAUUCUUUUACCUUUCUUGGUCAGAGCGAUGUAGUGGGAGCUGAAAGCUUCACGUGCUCAACUUUGGCAGAGAACUUUGGCAAAGUUAUCUGUGGUACCCAUGAGCUAUUGUUGCGUGUAACAGGUGCUGACAAGGCUAGAAAAGUAGGUGCCUCUUCGAUUUCUGAGAUCGGCCCUCGUGGUCUCUGAGCAGCCCAGCUUUUGAGAAAGCGAGCGCCUCUUCGAUUGAUUCGGAGAACGAUGCCUCAUCGAUUUUUGAGAAAGCAAUCAUGCUGGGGAUCUGGCUCUCGAAGAUUCGGGAAGCAGUGUCUCUUCGAUUUUUGAGAAAGUAAUCAUGUUGGGAGUCUGGCUCUCGAGAUUCGGAGGGCGGUGCCUCUUCGAUUUUGGAGCAAGCAAUCUUGUUGGGAGUUUUCUCGAAUGUGAAUAAAGGUUGGGCAUGUUUGCUAGUCUACCUUGCCACGAAGCACAGAGGUUGACACACAGGGACUUUCCAAUUAUCCAGCAAUGGUACUGUUCCUUUACCCUCUCUUCGAUUUUUAAGAAAGUAGUCAUGUUGGGAGUCUGGCUCUCGAGAUUUGGAGGACGGUGCCUCUUCGAUUUUGGAGCAAGCAAUCUUAUUGGGAGUGUUUUCUCGAAUGUGAGUAAAGGUUGGGCAUGUUUGCUAGUCUACCUUGCCACGAAGCACAGAGGUUGACACACAGGGACUUUCCAAUUAUCCAGCAGUGGUACUGUUCCUUUACCCUUGUGGGUAAUAAUAUGGUAGCUAGACCUUCAAAAAUUAUGGGUCUAAACUUUGUUAGUGUUGUUUCUUUGCUAUUCUUUUACCCUUCUUGGUCAGAGCGAUGUAGUAGGAGCUGCAAGCUUCACGUGCUCAACUUUGGCAGAGAACUUUGGCAAAGUUAUCUGUGGUACCCGUGAGCUAUUGUUGCGUGUGGGAAGUGGGUGAUUGAACAGUAAGAUUCAUGUGUUUUCUACUUCCCCAAAAGUCUUCGACAGAAUGCCCAUAAUUUCCGCAAAGCUGAGUGUGCGUGUGACAGGUGCUGACAAGGCUGGAAAAGUAGGUGCCUCUUCGAUUUCUGAGAUCGGCCCUCGUGGUCUCUGGGGAGCCCAGCUUUUGAGAAAGCGAGCGCCUCUUCGAUUUCUGAGAUCGGCCUUCGUGGUCUUUGAGCAGCCCAACUUUUGAGAAAGCAAACGCCUCUUCGAUUUCUGAGAUCAACCCUCGUGAUCUCUAAGCAGCCUAACUUUUGAGAAAGCAAACGCCUCUUCGAUUUCUGAGCAGGCGCCUCUUCGAUUUCUGAAGCUCCGUCAAGUGCAGAUUUUUAUAGGGGCUGGCAUUAAGUUCCAAAGCACACUUGAAUCUCCACCAGUAGAAGCUUCAUUCUUGCACUUCUAAGAUCUUGAUUUGUCCGACCUCUUCUCUCUUCAACACCUUUGAAAAUGUCUGGCCCCUCCGACCGUCGUUUUGACUUGAACCUUGUUGAAGAGGCAGCCCCGCCUUCUCCAGACAACAUAUGGCGCCCAUCCUUCGUCUCCCUUACUGGUCCUCUUACCGUUGGGGAUUCCGUGAUGAAGAAUGAUAUGACCGCUGCGGUGGUGGCCAGGAACCUUCUCACUCCCAAAGAUAACAGACUACUUUCCAAACGGUCUGAUGAGUUAGCUGUUAAGGAUUCGCUGGCUCUCAGUGUUCAAUGUGCAGGUUCUGUGUCUAAUAUGGCCCAACGCCUAUUUGCUCGAACCCGCCAAGUUGAAUCAUUGGCGGCUGAAGUGAUGAGUCUCAAACAGGAGAUUAGGGGGCUCAAGCAUGAGAAUAAACAGUUGCACCGGCUCGCACAUGACUAUGCUACAAACAUGAAGAAGAAGCUUGACCAGAUGAAGGAAACUGAUGGUCAGGUUUUACUUGAUCAUCAGAGAUUUGUGGGUUUGUUCCAAAGGCAUUUAUUGCCUUCGUCUUCUGGGGCUGUACCGCAUAAUGAAGCUCUGAAUGAUCAACCUCUGAUGCCUCCUCCUUCUAGGGUUCUGUCCAGUACUGAGGCUCCAAAUGAUCCCCCUCCGGUGCCUUCUCUUUCUGGGGCUCUACCGACUGCUGAGACUUCUCCUAAGCAACCUUUGUGAAGGCUCCCUCUUGUGUGUUUAUUUUGACUCAUGCAUAUGUACAUAUUUGUAGCUUAUCGGGGAUAUCAAUAAAUAAGCUUUCCUUCAUUUCAACGUAUUGUGUUAAAUACACCAAAGCCUUCUUCGCUAAGUUCUUUGAAUUUUCUUUUGUUGAAGCUUGUAUGUUGAAGCUUUCUGAGUGGAGCAUGUAGGUUGGGGUAGUGUUCCCUUAAUUUCCCGAGUGAGGAAAACUUCUCGGUUGGAGACUUGGAAAAUCCAAGUCACUGAGUGGGAUCGGCUAUAUGAAUCUUAGAACGCCAUUGUGCUCGAUCCUGUGUCAUGUCCUUCGUUAGAUCCAAGUACUCUAAGUCUUUUCUUAGAGUCUCUUCCAAAGUUUUCCUAGGUCUUCCUCUACCCCUUCGGCCCUGAACCUCUGUCCCACAGUCGCAUCUUCUAAUCGGAGCGUCAGUAGGCCUUCUUUGCACAUGUCCAAACC